GACGGCCUUACGGAUUGUAAACCUCUUUGUCGGGGAGUAACGUGCGGGACGGGUCCCGUAUUGAGAGUACCCGAAGAAAAAGCAUCGGCUAACUCCGUGCCAGCAGCCGCGGUAAUACGGAGGAUGCGAGCGUUAUCCGGAUUUAUUGGGUUUAAAGGGUGCGCAGGCGGCGCGCCAAGUCAGCGGUCAAAGUUCCGGGCUCAACCCGGUGUCGCCGUUGAAACUGGCGUGCUCGAGUGCGUGCGAGGAAGGCGGAAUGCGUUGUGUAGCGGUGAAAUGCAUAGAUAUGACGCAGAACUCCGAUUGCGAAGGCAGCUUUCCAGCGCGCUACUGACGCUGAGGCACGAAAGCGUGGGGAUCGAACAGGAUUAGAUACCCUGGUAGUCCACGCAGUAAACGAUGACUACUAGCUUUCCGGGAUGAUUGAGUCCUGGGAGGCACAGCGAAAGCGUUAAGUAGUCCACCUGGGGAGUACGCCGGCAACGGUGAAACUCAAAGGAAUUGACGGGGGCCCGCACAAGCGGAGGAACAUGUGGUUUAAUUCGAUGAUACGCGAGGAACCUUACCCGGGCUCAAACGACAGCGGACAGCGCCUGAAAGGGCGUCUCCGGCAACGGCCGCUGUCGAGGUGCUGCAUGGUUGUCGUCAGCUCGUGCCGUGAGGUGUCGGCUUAAGUGCCAUAACGAGCGCAACCCCCAUCUCCAGUUGCCACCGGGUAGUGCCGGGCACUCUGGAGGGACUGCCAGCGCAAGCUGCGAGGAAGGCGGGGAUGACGUCAAAUCAGCACGGCCCUUACGUCCGGGGCGACACACGUGUUACAAUGGCGGAGAACAGAGGGGAGCCACGUGGCGACACGGAGCCGAUCCCUAAAAUCCGUCUCAGUUCGGAUUGGAGUCUGCAACCCGACUCCAUGAAGCUGGAUUCGCUAGUAAU
rnacentral:rRNA from 1 species